rnacentral:rRNA from 1 species
AGAGUUUGAUCAUGGCUCAGGACGAACGCUGGCGGCGUGCUUAACACAUGCAAGUCGAGCGGAAAGGCCCUUUGGGGUACUCGAGCGGCGAACGGGUGAGUAACACGUGAGUAACCUGCCCUAGGCUCUGGGAUAACUGUCGGAAACGAUGGCUAAUACCGGAUAUUCAGCUUGCAUCGCAUGGUGUGGGUUGGAAAGUUUUUCGGCUUGGGAUGAGCUCGCGGCCUAUCAGCUUGUUGGUGGGGUAAUGGCCCACCAAGGCAACGACGGGUAGCCGGCCUGAGAGGGUGACCGGCCACACUGGGACUGAGACACGGCCCAGACUCCUACGGGAGGCAGCAGUGGGGAAUAUUGGACAAUGGGCGAAAGCCUGAUCCAGCAACGCCGCGUGAGGGAUGACGGCCUUCGGGUUGUAAACCUCUUUCAGCAGGGACGAAGCGCAAGUGACGGUACCUGCAGAAGAAGCACCGGCCAACUACGUGCCAGCAGCCGCGGUAAUAC